rnacentral:rRNA from 1 species
GCAAGUCGAGCGCACCUUCGGGUGAGCGGCGGACGGGUUAGUAACGCGUGGGAACAUACCCUUUUCUAUGGAAUAGCCUUUGGAAACGAAGAGUAAUACCAUAUACGCCCUUCGGGGGAAAGAUUUAUCGGUGAAGGAUUGGCCCGCGUUAGAUUAGAUAGUUGGUGGGGUAAUGGCCUACCAAGUCUACGAUCUAUAGCUGGUUUUAGAGGACGAUC